rnacentral:tRNA from 1 species
AAGGUUUUAAGUUAACCACAAACUAUCAGCCUUCAAAGUUGAAAUUGCUAAGCUUAGUAAAUCUUA